GGCAACAACAAGUUCGCGUCUCACCAACAGUGCAUGGAAGCCUGCAAGCCGCCUAGCAAGGUGAUGCUGGGUCAAUGUCUCAAACCAGCGGUGCUCGUUAGUUGCGGUGUGCUACGUCACAGGUGGUACUAUGAGUGGACAUCCAAGUCAUGUAAAAUGUUCAGCCACAUCAGCUGUGGCACUUCUUGCAACGUGUUUCUGAGCGAACUGAAGUGUCAGUGGACGUGUAAUCCGAAAAUGACACCAACGCCACUUUGCAGCGCGGAUCCUGAACGCGAUCGAUGCUUUUUAAGA